GUGCUGUAGCUCAGUGGUAGAGCAGUGGACUGAAAAUCCACGUGUCGCUGGUUCAAUUCCCGCCAGCACC
rnacentral:tRNA from 1 species